AUGGGGUCACCGGAGAUGGUGGCGUUCAGCGCAGGCAGCCGCCCAGGCCUGGCCCUGCAUCCACCCCCACGCCCCCCGGUUUCUUCACGCCCUGCAGAGGCCCCAUCACCACACUGGGGGCCGGGGAGGGGCCAGGCGCCUCGUCCCCCACGGUCGCCCGUAGAGGUCCAAGGCUCAGGAGCCGGUGCGCAGCAAGGGCUCCUUGUGCUCAGUGGAGACGCAUCCCCUAGAGACCCGGGGACCGCUGAGGCCCGGCCACUCCCUCCUGAGACCCCCGGCCAGCCUGAAGGGCACUCUGCCUUCUUGAUCCAGAGUCGGGACCAGAUGCCCACAGGCCUCAGGGCCUGCCAGGACCCCCGAGGAGACCGCCACGGGCUGAGGUCACAGCGUCCCCUUCCCAGUCCUGCAGCUCGAAAAUGGGUACAAUCCCGGCGACCCGUCGUUGCCCCCAAGCCGGGGAGGCAGGAGUGGCCGCAGGACGAGGCUGCCCAACAGAGCACGGCCGCAGGUGAGCUCGCAGGACAGACAGACCCCGUGUGAGUCCGGCCACCAGCUCAGGUCCACGCUGUCCCCGAAACCAGCCCGAGGGGCAGUGACUUCUGCACAAUCCAGUCUCCACGCCUGGCCUCCGAAGCAGCCACUCACGCACCCCCGCCCGGCCAGGAGCCAGAGCGCGGGCCCUGUCCAGAACCCAGCAGUGCCGCCGUCUCGGGGGGCCAUACGCCUAGGGAACGGGAGAGGCUGCACUGCCAGCCGGGAGCACCGCCUCGGGGUGAGCCUGGGGUGCAGCUUCGCAGGAGUGGGGUGCGGGCAUGCAGCGGGGACGGCUCCCGGGGUGGGCUGGGCAGGCCACGCCACCUCUGGGGGCCCUCCUCCCACAGCCGUCGGAGGGGAGGGUCCUUAUAAAAAGGGGACGGGGGCACGACCACACAGACGGGCAGGGCGCCCCGCGGGGGCGCGGCUGA
rnacentral:lncRNA from 1 species